AUUGAACGCUGGCGGCAUGCUUUACACAUGCAAGUCGAACGGUAACAGGGUGCUUGCACCGCUGACGAGUGGCGAACGGGUGAGUAAUGCGUCGGAACGUGCCGAGUAGUGGGGGAUAACGCAGCGAAAGCUGCGCUAAUACCGCAUACGAUCUCUGGAUGAAAGCGGGGGACCGAAAGGCCUCGCGCGAUUGGAGCGGCCGAUGUCAGAUUAGGUAGUUGGUGGGGUAAAGGCCCACCAAGCCAACGAUCUGUAGCUGGUCUGAGAGGACGACCAGCCACACUGGGACUGAGACACGGCCCAGACUCCUACGGGAGGCAGCAGUGGGGAAUUUUGGACAAUGGGCGCAAGCCUGAUCCAGCAAUGCCGCGUGCAGGAAGAAGGCCUUCGGGUUGUAAACUGCUUUUGUACGGAACGAAACGGUCCGGGUUAAUACCCUGGGCUAAUGACGGUACCGUAAGAAUAAGCACCGGCUAACUACGUGCCAGCAGCCGCAGUAA
rnacentral:rRNA from 1 species